CAAAAAAAAAAACUUUUCUUUAGUAAAUUUUUUUCUAAUUACCUUGAAAAUAUCAAGGAUACUUCAAGGGAUGGUUUAAAGAUAUUGAUCAAUGAUGAGGAUGGCCAAGAUACUGAUGUGACAUCAAAUGUAGUCUACAGAGAAUUUUUCCGUAAUGUGUAGGACUUUGUUUUGUAGUAUUAUUGUUAUUGCAUAUUGGUACUAUUUAUAUGUCGAUAGACCUUGGAUUUUCUUUUCUUCAAUAAACUAUGCCAUUAAAUUUAUGUUAUGUUACAAUACCAGGGUCGAUGUCAUGCAAAUAUUUUAAUAUGGUAUAGUACAAACGUUUAUGGCAAUUAAUAUUAUGAAUUGAAUUAUACUAUUAUAUUCAUUCAACUAAACUAUUUACAUACAUAUUAGCGCUUUAUACUUUAAUCUGUAU
rnacentral:lncRNA from 1 species